AUUGAACGCUGGCGGCAGGCCUAACACAUGCAAGUCGAGCGGAGCGGCGGACGGGUGAGGAAUGCCUAGGAAUCUGCCUGGCAGUGUGGGAUAACGUCCGGAAACGGGCGCUAAUACCGCAUCCUAUCAGCUGAGCCUAGGUCGGAUUGGCUAGUUGGUGGGGUAAAGGCCUACCAAGGCGACGCUCCUUACCUGGUCUGUGAGGAUGCUCAGUCACACUGGAACUGAGACACGGUCCAGACUCCUACGGUAGGCAGCAGUGGGGAAUAUUGGACAAUGGGCGAAAGCCUGCUCCAGCCAUGCCGCGUGUGUGAAGAAGGUCUUCGGAUUGUAAAGCACUUUAGGUUGGGAGGCGUUACCAACAGAAUAAGCACCGGCUAACUGCGUGCCAGCAGCCGCGGUAAUUC
rnacentral:rRNA from 1 species